UGGUCUGUUCAGCCUGAGGGGACAGAGAGGAGACCUCAGUGCAGAUACAGCUGCCUCGUGAGGGGAAGAGGAGGGACAGACACUGAUCUCUGCUCUCUGGUGACACUGACAGGACCCAAGGAAUGGCCUGAAGCUGUGCCAGGGGAGGUUCAGACUCGGCAUAAGUUCGGCAGUGUUCCAGUCCCUGAGAAAUACUCUGAAGUCUGCAGAUAGCAAAUCAUUAACAUUUUGAAGACUCAGUAAAAAUGGAAUCGGAAGAUUUAUCUGCUGAAAAUUGGUCAAUCUAGUCCACAUCCUGACUCUGGAAGUUGUCCAAGCACCUGAUGUUUGAAGAGCAAAUUUUCUGCAAGACACUGAGAGGAGAUACAGAAGUGCAGAAGGAAAAGAAAUUGGGGAAAAAGGAGAGCAUCUCAUUUCUUUCAACUCUAGGAAUCCUGUAAGUGGCCUUGAGGUAACGUCAGAGGAAGAGUCAAAGCAAGGAAAACGUUCUCCUGCACAAACCUGCCUUUCUGGGUAUUCUCUGAGUAAAGAACCGAGCCAAGAUUAAUAUCUAAAUUGCUUUUCUCUUUUGAGAUUCCAGAGAUGUGAUACACCAAUAAGCUUUUUAAGGUGCCAGCCCAAAAGCAGUCACAUCUUUCAUGAUAAGCACAUCCCUCAAAGAACAAAGCAAGCAUCAGCUCUUUUUUAUGUAUUAUGAAAUAUUAUAACCUAGAAGAUCCUUUUGUCAGUACCAGUGUAAACAGAGACCUUCCUUUGCUGUUUGCUCCUCUGUUUCAGAGCUUGAAGAGAUACACAAAUCACUUCCUUUCCUUCAUAAAUCAGAGGUGCCAAAUCUUGUGUCUUUAUACAACAAAUUUAUCCAGACAUUUAGCAGCACUGUUCCAGGAAAAAAAAAAUCUGAUUUUACUAAUGAAGUCAUUAACAACUGUACUUUGUGUGCAGGCUUCAAAACCUCUCUGUGAAGAUCCAAGUACAGAAAAGACUGAGCAACACAUAAAAGAACAGUAAACCUUGAAUUUUUCCACCAAGAGGUCCAGCAGCCCUCAAAAGAGCAGUGGUUACCAGGUGUUAACAGGAGCACAGCAGGCCAGGGGCAGAAAAAGGAAUAAUGUGCUCUGUAUCCAUCUCAGUGCCACCAGCUAAAAAACUAAACCAAACUAAAAAAAACAAACAAAACAAGCAACAAAAAAAACUCAAAGCUAACCAAAAACCCAAAACCAAAAAACAAAAUCAACCCAAAAAAAACCCCAAAAACCCCCAGAAACCCCCCCCCUCAAAAACACAUUUUUGAAGCAUAGUCCCUCAAAAAAAAAAGGUGGAAGAAGUUGCUUUACUUGGAAGGAGGAAGAAAUGCUGAGAAAACAGUUCUAUAUCCUUUAGUGAAUCAGAAAAAAGAGGACAGCUUGGUUUUGACCAGAACUGCUUUUCUGCUAACUUCCCUCAUUUCUGCAGGGUUAUCACAGAGGUGACUUCUAAACAGCAAUUUCUCUUACAUAAUUACUUACUAAGUAUCUAUCCAUUGCCAAAGAAGUUAUCAUCUAAGGCAGAGUUAUAAUCUAAUCUAAUAAACAGGAAAACAUCACAGAGAAAGUGAGGCAAAUCAUAUGAAACCAGAAAUUAUGAAAGAAUAUGCUUUGAUGAUGAACUAACCAGCUUUCUGAAGUUACAAUAUUUACAUAUGAAAAGAGGAUUGCACAAAGUUCCCGAAAUUCAAACAUUAUAAGCUCUGAUGUUCUAUCCACCUCCCAUUAGAACUAAUUGAAGGAUGGGUGUUUUUGCCCUGAGGCAUUGGAUGGGAGAUAAAAGGAAAGGUGAAGUAGAGAUGAGGCUACCAUGGUUAUGGUAGUGAAAAUAAUGCCAACAUGCAGCAGACAGGGACAGCCAGUGUGAACACUCAAUUACAGAGAGCAGCUCUCAGUGCCAAGGCACAUCACCACCCUGCCCUGGGACGAGGAACUGGAUUCUAUAGAGGCCAUUUAUCUUAAAAAUUAAAUAAACAGAUUUGGGGAAAUGAUGAAGGCAAUCAGAAUGCCCACUGAGAAACUUUGCAAUCAAUGAUCCAUUCUUCAGACCUCAGUAGCUUUAAGCUGAUACGUUUUUAUGCCAGACUAACUGAGACAGGUUUGGAGAACUGAUGGUUCAGACCUCCAGGAUUUCUUCAGAAAAUCUCACACUACCACCAAAACCCCACAGCCAAUUCUUUGUGUGCCUCCUGACAUAAAAAAACACACUUUCUGCUAAAAGGGCUCAGCUAACUCUAGCAUUUGUUUCCACUCAUUUUAUCCUACUCUUUGCCACACACCUUGGAGAAGGAUAUGGAACAUUUUUCACAAACUUUCAUACACUUGCAGAUCAGUGGGUUAAUAUAUCAGCCUUUCACCUUUGGAAACCACAGUUCAACAGUCUGAAUUACUAUGGUAAUAAACGUGGUAUUGUUUUGGUUCAAUACAGACUUGUGUUUGAAGAACUGUAACAAAAUAUUUUUAUAACCUUGUGGAAAAGAUAAGAAGUUGGCAAUUCUCUUUUAUGCCACAGAUUUCAUCUGUAAUCUCAAGCAAGCUAAUUAAACCCAGUCUUUGAAAAUAA